GGCGGCGCCAUGACUGACCCUGGCCCAAAUCCGCCUAGGUGCCCCAGACUUCAAUUCGCCCCUAGAAACGGUAUGGCAAUCACAAGGGAAAAGUCCUCACCGGCGGAAACGACGUGCAGAGGCCCGCCCACGGAGGAUUUGUGGUCCGCAGCGGAGCUUCAUCACCGGCAAGAAAUCGCCCCAGAUACGACGCCAUGACCCCCGAAUUGGUGGACGCCGCGACAUCCACACGCUCUGGUGAGGCAUCGGGCGGAUCUCCGAGCGGUGGAGAGGAUGAGCAGCGCGCGGCGAAGGGGGCAACGCCGAGCUCCAUAGAUGGCGAAGGCCUGGCACGCGCGGCCAUGGAGCUCGCGGGGGCACCCUGUACUUGGGUUUGUGGGAGCUCAAAGGGAAGGUUGGAGGCUCGCCCAUGGGGGGGAGCUCCACCCGGCUGCCAGGAAGAGGAGCAGGGGCACUGGGUGCCGAGCGCCAUGGAUGGGCAGAAGGAGAGGAGGUCGUGCGUCCAGGAUAUAUGGCCAGGGAUUCCAGCGCGCG
rnacentral:misc_RNA from 1 species